UUUAUGGAGAGUUUGAUCCUGGCUCAGGAUGAACGCUGGCGGCGUGCCUAAUACAUGCAAGUCGAGCGAACGGACGAGAAGCUUGCUUCUCUGAUGUUAGCGGCGGACGGGUGAGUAACACGUGGAUAACCUACCUAUAAGACUGGGAUAACUUCGGGAAACCGGAGCUAAUACCGGAUAAUAUUUUGAACCGCAUGGUUCAAAAGUGAAAGACGGUCUUGCUGUCACUUAUAGAUGGAUCCGCGCUGCAUUAGCUAGUUGGUAAGGUAACGGCUUACCAAGGCAACGAUGCAUAGCCGACCUGAGAGGGUGAUCGGCCACACUGGAACUGAGACACGGUCCAGACUCCUACGGGAGGCAGCAGUAGGGA
rnacentral:rRNA from 1 species